UACAGAGGUCCCCAGCGUUGUUCGGAUUUAUUGGGCGUAAAGGGUGCGUAGGCGGCGUAGUAAGUUGGGUGUGAAAUCCCGGGGCUUAACCUCGGAAUUGCAUUCAAUACUGCUUCGCUUGAGUACUGGAGAGGAGGCUGGAAUUUACGGUGUAGCAGUGAAAUGCGUAGAUAUCGUAAGGAAGGCCGGUGGCGAAAGCGAGCCUCUGGACAGUUACUGACGCUGAUGCACGAAGGCCAGGGGAGCAAACGGG
rnacentral:rRNA from 1 species